CCCUACGGGAGGCAGCAGUGGGGAUCUUCCGCAAUGGGCGAAAGCGUGAUCCAGCACCGCCGCGGAGUGAAGAAGGUCCUCGGCUCGUAAAGCUCUGUACCCGGGAAGAACGACUGUUGGAGAUCCCUACAAUAGUGAUGCACAGUCAGAGCGCCCGGCCC
rnacentral:rRNA from 1 species